AGACAAUGCAUCAAUCUUUACAUAGUCAGGUGAAACAAAUCAGUCAGUUCUCCCUGGGAAACAAUCAUAUUCAGGUGCCAAAACUCUGAAACUGGCACCGAUCCAAAACAUAGAAAGUAUCAUGCAGAUGAAAGCCAAUCAUCACCUCCCACGCACACUGGCAGGUGAUCGAGCACCUUUAUCACUGCUAAUGUCUUCAUCAAUUUCACUUCCAUCAAUGCACACAACGUUGUUACUUACACUCACUUCAGAACUAGCAUUACUGCUCGUGGCAAGUGGGGAGUCAGGCACGCUAAUUGACCUGCUUGUCCUGCCUCUAGUAGGCGGCCCUGAUCUCACACUGUACAUAGAGGAUGCUGGAAUAUUAG
rnacentral:misc_RNA from 1 species